UACGUAGGGGGCAAGCGUUGUCCGGAUUCAUUGGGCGUAAAGAGCGUGUAGGCGGCCAGGUAGGUCGGUUGUGAAAACUGGAGGCUCAACCUUCAGACGUCGACGGAAACCGUCUGGCUAGAGUCCGGAAGAGGAGAGUGGAAUUCCUGGUGUAGCGGUAAAAUGCGCAGAUAUCAGGAGGAACACCAAUAGCGAAGGCAGCUCGCUGGGACGGUACUGACGCUAAGGCGCGAAAGCGUGGGGAGCGAACAGG
rnacentral:rRNA from 1 species